AUUGAACGCUGGCGGCAUGCCUAACACAUGCAAGUCGAACGCGAAAUCACCUUCGGGUGAAAGUAGAGUGGCGGACGGGUGAGUAACGCGUGGGAAUCUGCCCAGUAGUGGGGGAUAACUCGAGGAAACUCGAGCUAAUACCGCAUACGCCCCAUGGGGGAAAGGCUUCGGCCGCUAUUGGAUGAGCCCGCGUCAGAUUAGCUAGUUGGUAGGGUAAAGGCCUACCAAGGCGACGAUCUGUAGCUGGUCUGAGAGGACGAACAGCCACACUGAGACUGAGACACGGCCCAGACUCCUACGGGAGGCAGCAGUGGGGAAUAUUGGACAAUGGGCGAAAGCCUGAUCCAGCAAUGCCGCGUGUGUGAAGAAGGCCUGCGGGUUGUAAAGCACUUUCAGUGGGAAGAUGAUGACGUACCAACAGAA
rnacentral:rRNA from 1 species